rnacentral:rRNA from 1 species
AUUGAACGCUGGCGGCAGGCCUAACACAUGCAAGUCGAAUGGUAACAGGAAACAGCUUGCUGUUUCGCUGACGAGUGGCGGACGGGUGAGUAAUGUCUGGGAAACUGCGUGAUGGAGGGGGAUAACUACUGGAAACGGUAGCUAAUACCGCAUAACGUCGCAAGACCAAAGAGGGGGACCUUCGGGCCUCUUGCCAUCAGAUGUGCCCAGAUGGGAUUAGCUAGUAGGUGGGGUAACGGCUCACCUAGGCGACGAUCCCUAGCUGGUCUGAGAGGAUGACCAGCCACACUGGAACUGAGACACGGUCCAGACUCCUACGGGAGGCAGCAGUGGGGAAUAUUGCACAAUGGGCGCAAGCCUGAUGCAGCCAUGCCGCGUGUAUGAAGAAGGCCUUCGGGUUGUAAAGUACUUUCAGCGGGGAGGAAGGGAGUAAAGUUAAUACCUUUGCUCAUUGACGUUACCCGCAGAAGAAGCACCGGCUAACUCCGUGCCAGCAGCCGCGGUAAUACGGAGGGUGCAAGCGUUAAUCGGAAUUACUGGGCGUAAAGCGCACGCAGGCGGUUUGUUAAGUCAGAUGUGAAAUCCCCGGGCUCAACCUGGGAACUGCAUCUGAUACUGGCAAGCUUGAGUCUCGUAGAGGGGGGUAGAAUUCCAGGUGUAGCGGUGAAAUGCGUAGAGAUCUGGAGGAAUACCGGUGGCGAAGGC